rnacentral:rRNA from 1 species
GGUUAAGCGACUAAGCGUACACGGUGGAUGCCCUGGCAGUCAGAGGCGAUGAAGGACGUGCUAAUCUGCGAUAAGCGUCGGUAAGGUGAUAUGAACCGUUAUAACCGGCGAUUUCCGAAUGGGGAAACCCAGUGUGAUUCGUCACACUAUCAUUAACUGAAUCCAUAGGUUAAUGAGGCGAACCGGGGGAACUGAAACAUCUAAGUACCCCGAGGAAAAGAAAUCAACCGAGAUUCCCCCAGUAGCGGCGAGCGAACGGGGAGCAGCCCAGAGCCUGAAUCAGUGUGUGUGUUAGUGGAAGCGUCUGGAAAGGCGCGCGAUACAGGGUGACAGCCCCGUACACAAAAAUGCACAUGCUGUGAGCUCGAUGAGUAGGGCGGGACACGUGGUAUCCUGUCUGAAUAUGGGGGGACCAUCCUCCAAGGCUAAAUACUCCUGACUGACCGAUAGUGAACCAGUACCGUGAGGGAAAGGCGAAAAGAACCCCGGCGAGGGGAGUGAAAAAGAACCUGAAACCGUGUACGUACAAGCAGUGGGAGCACGCUUAGGCGUGUGACUGCGUACCUUUUGUAUAAUGGGUCAGCGACUUAUAUUCUGUAGCAAGGUUAACCGAAUAGGGGAGCCGAAGGGAAACCGAGUCUUAACUGGGCGUUAAGUUGCAGGGUAUAGACCCGAAACCCGGUGAUCUAGCCAUGGGCAGGUUGAAGGUUGGGUAACACUAACUGGAGGACCGAACCGACUAAUGUUGAAAAAUUAGCGGAUGACUUGUGGCUGGGGGUGAAAGGCCAAUCAAACCGGGAGAUAGCUGGUUCUCCCCGAAAGCUAUUUAGGUAGCGCCUCGUGAAUUCAUCUCCGGGGGUAGAGCACUGUUUCGGCAAGGGGGUCAUCCCGACUUACCAACCCGAUGCAAACUGCGAAUACCGGAGAAUGUUAUCACGGGAGACACACGGCGGGUGCUAACGUCCGUCGUGAAGAGGGAAACAACCCAGACCGCCAGCUAAGGUCCCAAAGUCAUGGUUAAGUGGGAAACGAUGUGGGAAGGCCCAGACAGCCAGGAUGUUGGCUUAGAAGCAGCCAUCAUUUAAAGAAAGCGUAAUAGCUCACUGGUCGAGUCGGCCUGCGCGGAAGAUGUAACGGGGCUAAACCAUGCACCGAAGCUGCGGCAGCGACGCUUAUGCGUUGUUGGGUAGGGGAGCGUUCUGUAAGCCUGUGAAGGUGUGCUGUGAGGCAUGCUGGAGGUAUCAGAAGUGCGAAUGCUGACAUAAGUAACGAUAAAGCGGGUGAAAAGCCCGCUCGCCGGAAGACCAAGGGUUCCUGUCCAACGUUAAUCGGGGCAGGGUGAGUCGACCCCUAAGGCGAGGCCGAAAGGCGUAGUCGAUGGGAAACAGGUUAAUAUUCCUGUACUUGGUGUUACUGCGAAGGGGGGACGGAGAAGGCUAUGUUGGCCGGGCGACGGUUGUCCCGGUUUAAGCGUGUAGGCUGGUUUUCCAGGCAAAUCCGGAAAAUCAAGGCUGAGGCGUGAUGACGAGGCACUACGGUGCUGAAGCAACAAAUGCCCUGCUUCCAGGAAAAGCCUCUAAGCAUCAGGUAACAUCAAAUCGUACCCCAAACCGACACAGGUGGUCAGGUAGAGAAUACCAAGGCGCUUGAGAGAACUCGGGUGAAGGAACUAGGCAAAAUGGUGCCGUAACUUCGGGAGAAGGCACGCUGAUAUGUAGGUGAAGUCCCUCGCGGAUGGAGCUGAAAUCAGUCGAAGAUACCAGCUGGCUGCAACUGUUUAUUAAAAACACAGCACUGUGCAAACACGAAAGUGGACGUAUACGGUGUGACGCCUGCCCGGUGCCGGAAGGUUAAUUGAUGGGGUCAGCGCAAGCGAAGCUCUUGAUCGAAGCCCCGGUAAACGGCGGCCGUAACUAUAACGGUCCUAAGGUAGCGAAAUUCCUUGUCGGGUAAGUUCCGACCUGCACGAAUGGCGUAAUGAUGGCCAGGCUGUCUCCACCCGAGACUCAGUGAAAUUGAACUCGCUGUGAAGAUGCAGUGUACCCGCGGCAAGACGGAAAGACCCCGUGAACCUUUACUAUAGCUUGACACUGAACAUUGAGCCUUGAUGUGUAGGAUAGGUGGGAGGCUUAGAAGUGUGGACGCCAGUCUGCAUGGAGCCGACCUUGAAAUACCACCCUUUAAUGUUUGAUGUUCUAACG